UGGCGGACGGGUGAGUAACGCGUGGGUAACCUGCCUCAUACAGGGGGAUAACAGUUAGAAAUGACUGCUAAUACCGCAUAAGCGCACAGUACCACAUGGUACGGUGUGAAAAACUCCGGUGGUAUGAGAUGGACCCGCGUCUGAUUAGCUAGUUGGUGGGGUAACGGCCCACCAAGGCGACGAUCAGUAGCCGACCUGAGAGGGUGACCGGCCACAUUGGGACUGAGACACGGCCCAA
rnacentral:rRNA from 1 species